GGUCUUAUGGUCUAGUGGUGUAAGUUCAACAGCUUCGACAACAUCACAACAUCAACUAAUAGUGAAACAGAUGAUUCUCGCUUAGGGCUAUCCUGAGCACAUUUGCGAGAGGCCCCGCGUUCGAAUCGCGGUAAGACCC
rnacentral:tRNA from 1 species